UCGCCAACUUCUAAAAGGGUCACGCGGUCCGUGUCCCAGCACUGUGCAUCCGAGCACAUCACAAUGCUACGUCGCAGCAGAAGGCCGCUGUUCCGUGAUCUGUCCACCAGGACGUGACAGGCAACAGCGAUUCGUCAGGCAUCACGUGUACCCGAAUUGCCUGCCCAAGUAUGCCCUAGCAGUACAGAUACGCAAUACGAGCCUCACCUGAAGGAUGCAUCUUCUGCUGCGGCUUUCGCUGAUCACGCCAGGUCCAACCCGCCGCCUGCGAUGGCGGGGCGCGAUACCGUUAAUACCCUAAAUGAGGCGACGUGCACGAGCGUCAGCGGGUUGACAUAGCAUAUAUGGCGCCCGGUGAGAUAGACAGGAGUGCGUGUCGCAGGACAAUCCCAGGCCCCUCCGUCGAAAAAAUUCCUCUCACGCGCUUUCAAACACAGCACGGCUCCUAGUUCCAGAACCUUUAGUAGUCUAUGCGAAUUAAAAUACUACAGUGUAAUUUCAGUAAAAAGUAGUAAAAUGCUUCCUUUCGACGCGCUUCUUGAUGCAGGGUGCUUUCCCAAUUGAAACUAACUGUGCGGACUACGGGAACACGGGCUUCACGCCAUCAUAAAAUAUAUGCAUUUAAAAAACGCGAAAGUCUGUUGGUGCGGGCCCUAUGCCAAAUAUAAGGCGAGUGCCGAUGCCGAUGUCUCUGGGCUCGCUUGCGUUACUGCCAGCCGCCUUGUCCCAGUAAGGGAGUCUUAACCCAUUUCCCUUUCCAUGGGCAGCGCAAAUCACGCUCUUCACACAGGAAUGUCUCUGAAUGUCCAACCGCCCAGAUCACUUCAAACACGCCCAGCCUCCAUAAUAUGAACCGCUUUAGCCAAGCAAGAAAAAUAUUCAUAGAAAGACUAGUACACGCUUGAACAGCGACUGCACCAAUGAAUGGUUUUAUAACAUACCGUAAUGACAGGAAAUGUUCGUGUUUCUAAUUUCGUGACGGCAUUAUGAAAUUAUGUCACAUAUAAAUUACAAGCUGUUCCAGGCGAUGGUCGUUACGAAUAUAUGUGUGCUCCGAAGCCAAAUCGUACAAUGCCUUCAACACAGUACUUACUAUUUAGAUGCUGUUAGCAAACUUGGAGGCGAACUUGACAGCACCGCGUUUGUUGAAGUACUCACUCCUGCCUGUUCAUCAGCGUUGGAGAGGGCUUUUUGCAAACGGUGCCCAGCACCCAAGCGUGUGAGGGAAGAAAAAGAUGCGCCCUGGUGGACCCAGGAAUGCGCAGCGGCACGCAGCGACAUGUUGCUGCAGAAGGCACAUAUGAGGGCACAGGGACUACUUGCUGAUUAGCAGGCGCUGCAGAUCUUUACACUCCUGCGCUCUCGCUACCAGAGGAUUAGGAAGCAAUGCGAACAUCCGUGAUAUCAUGCAAGUGGAUGAUCAGCGUGGUCUUGCAAAGGCAAUUUUUGAGAUGUUUCGCUCCCGGCAUGAGCACCUAACUACUUAACUUUCUCGGCGGUAACAGGCAAUUGUGUGUCAGAGUCAAAGUGACGCUGUUCUUUCUCAUAAACACCCGUUUUCUUCUUGCGUAAAACUUUCUUUUUCUGUUGUUAAGCAGCCCCUCGCACAAAUGUGAGGGGUCGUACUGUGCCGAAUAAACAGACCGUACAAAAUGGCCCAAAGACAGUCCCGAAUUUUAACGCG
rnacentral:lncRNA from 1 species